rnacentral:rRNA from 1 species
UUUUUAAAUUGCUGUGGUAUUUUGACUAUACAAAGGUAUUGAAAUAAGAUUUUAAUUGAAUGCUAAGAGAAUGGAAGUCCAGAAAAAAACUUUUUUUAAAUUAAAAAUUGAAGUUUUUUUAAUUUGUGCAGAAACAAUUAUUUAUAUUAAAGACAAGAAGACCCUAUGAAUUUAUUAAAUUUUUAUUUAAUAUGUAAUUACUAUUAGAAAAAUUUUGGCUGGGGCGGCUAGAAAAUAUUAUAAACUUUUUAAAAAUAAAAUGAUCCAUUAUUAAUGAUUUUAUGUUAAAUACUCUAGGGAAAACAGCGUAAA